rnacentral:lncRNA from 1 species
CAAAAAUAGGUGUUUAUUUAUGUAUAGUUGUAUAAGUUGAUUUAGUGUGUAGAUACAGGAAGAUGUAAUACGAGUGCCUCCAUUCAAGUAAAAAUCUAUAAAAGUAAACCAUUAUAGGUCAAGGUACGGCCUUCAACACGGAGCCUUGGCUCACACCGAACAACAAGCUAUAAAAGGCCCCAAAAAAUACUAGUGUAAAACUAUUCAAACGGGAAAACCAACGGUCUAAUUUAUUUAAAACGAGAAACACUUAUGAACCACAUAAACAGACGACAACCACUGAACAUCAGAUUCCUGACUUAGGACAGGUGUUUUUUUUUUCAUUUGAAUGCAUAUUGUUCUUAUAUUUUGGAUCUUGUGUAGACAUCUCAGAUUCAGUGUUGGUGUAUAUUAUCGGAGAAA